GACGAACGCUGGCGGCGUGCCUAAUACAUGCAAGUUGAGCGCUGAAGGUUGGUACUUGUACCAACUGGAUCAGCAGCGAACGGGUGAGUAACGCGUGGGGAAUCUGCCUUUGAGCGGGGGACAACAUUUGGAAACGAAUGCUAAUACCGCAUAAAAACUUUAAACACAAGUUUUAAGUUUGAAAGAUGCAAUUGCAUCACUCAAAGAUGAUCCCGCGUUGUAUUAGCUAGUUGGUGAGGUAAAGGCUCACCAAGGCGAUGAUACAUAGCCGACCUGAGAGGGUGAUCGGCCACAUUGGGACUGAGACACGGCCCAAACUCCUACGGGAGGCAGCAGUAGGGAAUCUUCGGCAAUGGACGAAAGUCCGACCGAGCAACGCCGCGUGAGUGAAGAAGGUUUUCGGAUCGUAAAACUCUGUUGGUAGAGAAGAACGUUGGUGAGAGUGGAAAGCUCAUCAAGUGACGGUAACUACCCAGAAAGGGACGGCUAACUACGUG
rnacentral:rRNA from 1 species